ensembl:lncRNA
AUUGGGUCCCCAUCCCGUCCCAGAGCGGCCCCAGGAUCCGAGGUCUCACAUAGGGUAGGAGGGAUUUACUGGGAGUCCAGGAUUUCAGCUCCUCCAGCUGCCGCGAGGUCCGGCAAGGGUGAGGAAAAACUCCUUCCUGACGGAGCUCUCCAGCUUUGGGGAGGGACUGGAUUUAUUCUUUAAUGGUCACUUUAAAAAGGACGCCCGCGGUGCCGCUCACGCUGAUGCACGAGACAUUACGCGGUGGAGGAAAAGGACGGGAACGGAGGGACUCAGCCCUGCGUCUCAGCUGGGGGUGAAGUCGCUUCUCCAGCGCACCCGGUCGCUAAUUUCCAGCUGAAACACCCGCUCGGCUCGGGGGACGCCCUGGGCGCGCGUCCGGGAGCCCGGGGCACUUAGUACAAAGCAGGUAGGAGGCUAAUGGAGUGGGGUCGCCGGUAUGAGGUCUAUCAGCCGGAAGCCGGCUUUGGUUUUACUGGUCUGCAAAUAAUCAUAAUAAAAGUAUAAACAUUGCAGCAGAACCUGCUCAUUAAGUGUGCAUCUCGGAAUUGGGCGGAUGUCUUAAUUAGGCUGCGUUGUUAACGGGUAUAUUGCACUAAUUAAAACCAGACCCUCCAGGUGAGGGAAAAUUGUGAAGGGAGAGAGGGAGAAAAGUUGCAAUGAAAGCGCAGCCUGAUGGAAGAGGGAUGCAGGCAGGUGGGGGCCUGGGACCAGCGGGUUUGGGGAGGGCGUGGCAAAGGAGCUCCUUCUGAGCAUUAGGCGGGCUUGUCCCACAGUCCCCGUCUCCACCUUGGGGCUCAGAGCCCCAUUAUGCCCUGAGGUUGGAGGUUGCCACCCCCAUCCCUCCCCAGAGACUGGAGGCCUCCCUGGGUGGGCACCGGGCUCACAGGCACACUCUCCUGGAAGCAGUGCAUAACUCAUUUGCCAGGCGGGAGCUUCUGAGAGGGUAGAGCAGAUCCCUGGAGAAUGAGGUGAGAAGGUCUGAGGGGUUAGGAAGCAGAAGCUAGAGUGGAGUGUCUGGUGCUUGGAGCCUGGUGAGGCAGCUGGAAACCAAGGAGGGGGUUUGCCAGAGUCACGUGGGCUGUCUGUGCUGGAGCUGCUGGGCUUUUUUGGCACCACUUGCCUAUUUCCAACAGCAAUCCCCUCCUCCAUUAAAAGAGGACUCGAAUGGUUGCUCAGAUCCCCACUCCAGGGGCCUGAGCUUAGAGAGAACUGAGUCCAUCCUUGGGCCUUGGGUAGCCUCAGGUCACCUGGGGAAGCUGGAGUCCAGGAAAGUCCCCACAGGCCAGGCUCUGGCUAUGCUGGGCCUUCAUUGCAAAUGCCUCCUGUCCAGUGCCCUGGGAAAGGAGUUGAAGCUGGUCCGGGUGUAUUCAUGGCCUUUCCGCAGGUUCCCAGAGGCCAGGCUGGAGGGAAGGCUGAGUCCUGGGCGGCCCCUGCCACAGGGGGCGCAGCUGGAGGCAGCACCAAGGACAGGGCCAGGGCCCGCAGCCUGCUCUGGUGCCCUCCUCCCUGAGGAGGUUGUCCUGGGGCCGCUGGGGGCGCUGCGGCAGCAGCAGCUCUCUUCACCCUGCUGAGGGGAAGGGUUAACCUAAUGCCAGCCAAGAGGCAGAUUUAGGAAGGAGGCAGAUGGGAGGACUCCUGGGUACCACUCUAGAGUGGGCCUCUGUUAUGUUCCUGCCACUUGCUAAGCUUUGAGCUCUACCAACGGCUCAAAGAAAUGGCUUCCAAGAAUUGGAGAGAAAUUAUGGAGCUCUUUGGUAUUUGGGGUGGACUGGGCAUGGUAUUGGCCAGAGAAAAUGCCAGCCCCAGGUCUGGAUUGCUCCUUGGCCAGCCUGGUCCAGCUUGGGUGCUGCCUCCACCCUACAGUCUUCUUUACAGCCCCUCACUCACAUUGAACCAUAGUGCAAGGCCGCUUUGUUCUGUGAUGUGUAGAAACUGGAGGUACCUUACUCCUAAGGGCACAGAUACUGGUUGAUUUAUCCCCACUUCCUCCUGGGCACGUGGCGUUAUUUGAUGCCUGCUUGUGGAAUUAGGAGUGAAGGAAUGGAAAGGUGAGGGAAGCACCUCUCCCACCUGUGCAUGACAGAGUUGGUGGUGUGUGGGGUGGGGGGCAAUGUAAGGAGCCUGGAGGAGCCAUGCAGGGAGAAGUGUCUCAUUGAGCUUGGAGUGACAGUGAGCAUGGAAUUGAAACGCUCUUUUGCAGCUGUUGUGGUGUGGGGUUUACCUCAUCUAGCCCAUCCGUGUGCCUGCAAUUUUGGUCUUUUUGGUCCUGGUUGUCUCUCUGUGUUUAUUUAUUUCCACACUCCUGCUUGAUACUUUGUUAUAAAGACAAAUGGAACCUGACUCACAGCUGACAUUUGGUGAGGAAUUUUUUGUUUUUAAACAAGUGAAGGGGAAAAACCAUCCUGAAACUUCCUCCCUUGAACAGAGACGCUAUGCUCCUCCGUGGGCACCUGCCUUUCCCUAAAUCCCCGCCUGCUGCAGGCUUUUUCUUCUGCACGCGAUGCCGGCUUUAUAAACACAUCCCAUUUGCACCUACAUCUUUUGAUUAGCUGCAAUGUCUCCCCACGUUCUUUCAUAAAGCAGCACGUUAUUUUCACAGGUUCAUGAAACAUUCAGACAGCCUAAACAUCUUAUUUUUUGCUGCCUCUCUGAAGUAGGUUUCUCUCUGAGCCAUCACUGUCUUCUUUUUAUUUAUAACGUUCUGGUUCCAUCUCUGUCUCUCUCUCUCUCUGUCCGUCUGUGUCUCUUUCUCCUCCCCUUUUAUGUCUUCUUUUCUCCCUUUUCAUUUUGAGUGGUGCAGGCACUUGGUAUAUGACUUUCUCUUUGAAUUACGUAUGAGAAUUGAGGACAGCUCGCGUCUACAGGUGGGAUGGGGAGUAACUGAGUACAUGGUGAGGUCUUUUCUUUGUGGAGGACUGCAGACAGAAAAACGAGUAGAAAUAUCUCACUUAAAGAAAUACCCUGUGACGUGGACUGGUUUGAUUUAUUAAUAUAAAACGUACAUUUUUAAAGUGCAGCACACUUAGUAAAUGAGUUUGCUGUCGCAGUUUCUCCAACACAUGAGCUGACACCAAAACAUGCCUUAGAAGGUGGCUUGAGAUAAUAAAGAGCAUAAAAUCUGCUACUUCAUUUGAAAGCAUUUCCUCUAGUAGCCUGGGGAAAGCUCUUAGUAUAUACACUGCAUUUUGGAAAGUGUUGCCAGGGACCAGGUGAAGCAAAACUGAACGCUAUGGCUCAGGAGCCAGGGGGGCCCCAUGAGGGACAGCCAGCCAGCGGGGCCCGCAAAAAACGCUAAUUUUAUUUAAGUUCCAGGGGCCUAAAGAUGUGCUCACCGUGCGAUCUAGUUGUCACCCUUUCUGUGUAGCUUGGGGCUGGGUGCUGCUGAUUCCACCUGGGGAGUGGGCUAUAACUUGCUGGCAUCAAUUUGUGUGGGAUGGGGUGGGGUCUUCAGAGUCUAUAGUUUCCUCUGAGGACCAAGAGCAAAGCAGUUCGGUUGCAAGUUUUUGAAAGGUCUAAUGGUUUAAAGCCAGAGAGAAUUCCCAGCAGAAAAAAAGAAGGAGGGGGGAGAAUAUACAUAUUUUGAGCAGAAUUCUAUAAAAUAUUUCUUUGGUUCAUGGCUGUCCUAAGAGCUUCUUCCUAAGAUUCUAGAAGAACAGAGGCAUGCGUGAAGAACUGCCCGCCCUGUACCUCGCCACGCCGGUUCCCUCCCAGAUCUCCUCCUGGUCAUCAACCCUGGGUGUCAGGUCUCAGCUGUUGCUCAGGGAAGCCACCCCUUCUGGUCUCUUAUCGCUUCGGACUAUGCCUGGAAACCAGGAGGAGAGGGCAGGUGGUCAGGUUUGUCUUUUUUUGGCCCUUCAAGAAAAUAGUCCCGCUUGCAGGGGAGGAACUGCCUGGGGCACACUCGCUCCCAGCCGGCCCCUGCACAGCUUCAUCACUUUCCUUUUGGAGGGCCAAGUGAAACUGUAACAGAAGUCUUCUGUAUGGAAGAGAAGAGAAUUCUGUGUGUCUCUAUUUCUCCGAGGCGUCUUGUCUGACACCAAAAUCCUUCCACCAAAUCAAACAAGCCAGAAGUCAGCCAGGCCACCCGCUCCCUCACAGGGCCGCCUGUCCAUUACAACUAUGAUGUACCAGUAGUGCCCUGCACAAACCUAGGGACCGUUCAGAGCUCUGUGUGUGAAUAGGUGGAGAGCUGCCGCCCUGCUUAUUACUGUCUCCUUGUCUGUGACACCAAAUGAAACAGGGAUGGUGGUGACAAGAAAUGUGGUCCUCCAGAGUCUAGGUACUUCCCCUGCACCCCUGAAAUUUGCGGCCAUCUCAGGAUAGUUUCCUUUUAGGUAAGGAUAAUGAGAACACAGAGAGGCACGUUGUUCUCGGCAAUGAAGGCUCUUUUUAUGUAAAAAUGUGAAACUCUAUUGAAGCCAAAGAACAGAAAGUUUACUUGUAUUAAAAAAGUAGAUACAACUUGGAGAAAGAUUUAAAGAGGUAUGAAUACCUAGGUACAUUUAGGAGUAAUUUCUCACUAAACUUUAAUAGCUCAAGAUCCUUCCUGAAUCUAAAUGAGAUGCUUCACUAUAGGAUCCAAAAGAAAAUAACUCCUAAUUUUCCUGGAACUUUUGCUUGAAGGGCUGGGUGCAGGGCAAUGCUCCAGGGUGUGUACAUAAAAGCUUCUGGACCAUUUGAAAUCAAAGCUUCUACUGAUGAUUUCUCCCCCGCCCCCAUCCCUCUUUCUUUUGGCAAUAGCAAGAAGGGCUUUUUAACCUUCUGUUUUCAGCAAGAGGUGUUAAGAUGAAUUUUUAAUACUUCAGUGAGAUCGCCGCACAUACCACGGUUUCCCUACUUUUCUCAUCACCUUGAGAUGCAGGAAGCAAAAGGAAAAUCAGAAUGAUGCUUCAAGCUGGGUCUGCACACAGGUUCCUGAUGGGCUCCACCCUCUCCUGACUCGCCCUCCCAUCCUUUUUUUCCCCUGGAGAUCUACUCUGAAUCUUCCUUCAGUUCAUCUCAUUAACCCGCACUGGCUUCCCUGAGAUUGUGCCUCAUGGCUGUUCCUUCUUGUAAGAACCACCCUUCACCCCUGGGACACACCCAUUUAGAUGCACAUUUAAAUAGAAUGUAACUUCUGGACAAAGCUGUGAGUUAAUUGCCUUACUUGAGACCUCAAGCCCAUUAAGGGCGCAAGGAGCAGAUCUGGCACUCGCCUGAGAUGCAGCGGGAGGCUGUGUGCAGGGGACGUGAGGUGUGAGGCCAGGCUCUGACUUCCAGGGUGGUGGGACUGAUUGCAGUAUGCCGGAGGGGAGGGCUUGUAGACUUCCCAACCCUGUGUCCUGGGUUAAGCUCAUGGAGCCUAGCUUGCUCAGCUGAGAAGAGGGGCGAUGUAAUACACGUAAAGGAACUGGUGCACAGUGGGCCUGCAACAGCUGGUGGUGAGCACAGACCUUCCUUGGUGCCACCCGCAUGUUGGAGGAAUGAGCAUCCUGUCAGAGUUAAGGAAAUGGAUUCUGCACUGUUUCCUUUUGCCACAAGGAGAUGAUGCUGUUUUAAAAUGGUUCCAGAUAAAGUCGCAGGUGCUAGGACAGAAACAAGCCUUAGCAUUCCUGUAUAGGUGAGGAUAUCCUUACGUGCUCAGGGGGCUGAUGAGGGCCCCCAGGAGGAACCUGACAGCUCAUGUUCUCAGGAACACGGAUGGCCAGGCGGAAAGACAUGAGUGAGGGUCUGUCUGUAGGGCUGUGGUCCCAGCGGUCACCCUGUUCAUGGCCUCCAGAGGGUGAAGGGGCCUCUGGCUGCUCGAGGUGUGCCCCACUGAUGCGCCAUCACCCCCUCCCCAUGCCUCUGCUCCCGGUUGAAUGUCAAGGGACACAGAAGGAGGGAGAAGUGCUGGGUGCUUCACUUUUGCAGGAGUGGCUUUGGAUUCUAAGAGAUGGGGGCCCUAGCUCAAUGUCAGCUGGAUUCUCCACGAGGAGGAAGAAAAGAAGAAUAGAAUCGUGACCUCCUGCCCUUCCUGGACUUCUCUGAAUCUGAAGAUCGCCAUUAUGGCACUUAACGCUCUGACUGAAGGAUUCUAUCCACCUCCACAUUCAGCAAGGAGAUGUUUUUGAUUCCCAGGACCCAAAGUGUGACAAACCGAAACCCAGUUUUGCAAAACCCAUUAGAAAUAAACAUAAAGUGUGCAUGCCUUUCUGGAAUAUUGACGCUCCCUCAUUGAAGGGACCACUGUGAUGCCAUUAGGCACAGCUGGAGCCCCCGCUGCAGGGACUGGUGAGGUUGGUGUCUGGGACAACAGGAUGAAAGGCAGCUUACCAGCAUGUCUCUCCCCGCCACCCCCACAGACUGAUCUCUCCUAGAACAGUUGAGAAGAAUGCACACAGAAUCUGCAUUCUUUUGACCCUUCCAGCAUCCGCUGGCCAAGACUGGGAUCUCUCCCUAAGGUUGCCUUUGGUUUUGAAAAUACAUGUCCGGCUGUAUUGGUUCACUGACAAUAUUGCAGUGGUUAGCGCUGGCUGGCCUGACUUGUCUGUGCUUAGGCUUGUAAAACGAAUGGUGCAUGAGUGCUUUCCCCCACGUAGAUGGAAAUCCCAUUUCAGAAGUAGAACUGUCUGGACAGAACAGAUGGGCAAAACCAAAACCAGGUCAUCGAUAUCAGAGCUGACAUGUAAAAAGUGCAGCGCACAGUCCUGCCCUCCCACACCAUUCUUUCCUUGUCAGAAGUCACCACAGAGACUGAGCGAGCGCUAAUCCACCUGCCCCCCUGCCCGUCGUGGACACAAUUGUAUGUUUUGCUCGGAUCCUAAGAAGGAAAACCCACAAGACCAGACUUGGAAAAUUUCGGCCCCCAAGGAUAAUUUUUCAGAAAGUAAUGAACGCUAGAAAAUGAGGGCUAUAAAGGAAGUCUUUAGGUAAUAAUCAUAACUAUAAUGUUCACCACUUUGAAAUGCAUUAAUAUAGACUAAAAUUACAGAAAAUAUGAAGUCUGCUGGAGGGGGAAGGAGGCCUGCUUUGGAGCCUGAGGCCAACCUUCCGUGUGCCUGUGGCUUAUGCCCCUCCCCCAUCUCUUACAGCGAGGUCCCUGUGCCCCCAGCUGAGACCAGUCACACAUACAAUGAAGGUUGCGUGGAGGAUAGUAUUUCCUCCCCAGUGGGUUCCUUUCAGGGCUGUGCUGCUUUUCAGAAGGCAGGGGAAUGCCAAGACUCCCCCGGGGUCUGGCCCACUUCAUAGGAGUCAGGCUGCUUGAGAGCUGGGCUCUGUGAGGCCGGUGUGUAGACACUGGCUCAGGAGGGCGUAGCCCAGGGCACCCGAUGCACACUGUGCCUACUGCCGCUUCCGCUCCAAGCUGCAGUGAAGACUCCUCUUCAGUGCCCUGGGGUUAGGAGCAGACACAGGGCACAUGGCCAUGCUCCACCCCUCUGUCUCCCUCCCCGACCCCACCAGCCUCUUUCUCCUGCUCCCCCUCCCCCAGUCCCCACCUUCACCUUCAAAGCCAGCAGACUGUUCCAGCGAGAUGCAGGCGAGGGGCUGGCAAUGGCAGGUCAAGCAGUGCUGAGCUCAGAGCAGCCGGGAGGAAAGAUUUACGGUUCCUCCCUGCCCUGCUGGAUGGACAAUUAAAGCCUUGCACGGCUGGAGGAGAGCGGGUCGUUAAGAGUCAGGACGGUCAGAAUAAAUCAGUCACCUCCACUUAGACGGCUGAGCUAGGCUGCUUCUGGGGCCUAUAGGGCAAGAGUCCCUUGGGUGUGGGUUUGAAUGCUCUGCAAUGGACGAUCUCUGCAAUUGAAGGAUCUGACAUGCUCUGGGCUCCACCCGAGACCGGACCUGAAGACCCCAGUGUCUCCUCACAGAUGGGGGAUGUGCUGUAGGGCCUUCCGCGGCAGUUCUGAGUAACGCAUUUGUGUUUUGUCUCCUGAGCAGCUGGCGGGGAAGAGAGCCACAGACUGGAAUGUUUGUGGGUCAGAACAGUGGACCCCAACCUGCCAGUAGAGUGUGCGUGUCCAUGGAUAUUUAUGCGUGUGUGUGCACAGGUGUGAGUGUUGGCAUGUGUGUGCAUGGUGUGUGUGUGCACACACAUAGAUGUUGUAUGUUCUCACCUCCUGGACACUUGUAGGCUCCGCUUGUGCCUCUAAACCCACACAUCCCACUGACUGACUGCCUGGGGCGGGUGUCUGAGCACCAGCCAAGCCCAGCCAUCGUCCCUCUUCAUUCGUGCUGUGUCUGACUUCAGUGCCUUGGAGACUCUGGCAGUUUCCUCAAGGAAACUUUGUCUUUGUGGAAAUAAGAUGCCAAGCGUUCCUCGGCCCUCCUAUCGGCUAAUUGAUGAUGUGAUCCCGCGUGGGAGCCUUGUCAUUCCUGGAAACGCUCUUUAUUUCCUGCGUUUCCCCACCUCCUUCCCCGCCCGCUCCCGCCUCCCCACUGGGGUCGGCUUUCCACGAUGGUGGUGGAGCCACUCCACACGAGCCGCGGGCUGCGGCGUUAGCGGUAUUCAGCCAGCCAGCACGCCAGGCCUUUCAUUAACUCGGAUACUACAAUUAUGUGCGCCGAAAGGCUGAAAGGGCCAUUUAGGAUUUUUCUGCUUAAAAAAAAAAAAAUAUUCCUUUUUUCACAGCCAUCUGCCCAGCCCUUUGGGGCCACAGCUGUGACACAGAACGGUGCGUGGCCUUCAAGCUCUCCUCGGUGCUCUUGACCCCGACCCUAAUCCAUCCAUUGGCACAGUGGGCAGCAGGGUGGGCGGGGCCCCACCAUUGUUCUGCUCGGAGGGGCUUUGCAGGCUAUUGGUACAGCGGGCCUGGAGGAGUGUGCUUCCUGCUACGGUGACUUAACUUUUGGCACAGCCGGGGCCACUGAACCGAUGGCCGUGUGCAUGGCAUGUGUGCCCUGCUGACACGCGAGCGUGUCCCUCAGCAUGGAGAGGCUGCUGCUGCUGCCGUCGUGGAGGAGAUCAGUGUCGGGGCUGUGGCUCCCACUUGCUUCCGCAGAGGCCACUCAGGCGUUUUUGUGGGAAAACGUAGUUUACACGGCUUGUGCAGGCCCCUUGUGCAUGCACGUGUGUGAGUGUGUGUGCAGCUCUGCCUGUGGAGAUUAGGGUUUUGGAGGAGAUUGCCUGGCUCUCCCCAAAGUGGGUGAGUAGUGUUGUGGGACCUGGUUGGGAUCCCCAGGGGUCUGGUUUGACAAUCUCUGGACUCCUAGAGAGGAGGAGGCAUGGAGACUUGUGGGAGGUGCGCUGGCUCCAGGUCACCCUGCAGAGAACAGCCACCCAGGACAGAACCUGGGCUUGUGACCGUGUGCUUGGACUAGACGCGCCUCCCCGUUGGAAGGUAAUUGCAAGUCUGGAGACAGCCGCUGCCUUGGAUGCGGUACCCAAAAAACUCAUAAAAAUGUUAUUCAGGGACCUUGUUAUCUUAAAAAAGAAGGAAAGAACCCAAGCACCAAAUAACAACCAGCAACUCACAAACUUAUUUUUUUAAACUUCCCUGAAGUUGCCAUGGUUACCCGCAUGCGUGGUUCCUGGCUCUCUUGCUCUAAGUGGAGCGGCUCAGAGCAGGCAUUAAGCCCUUGGUGCGGGGCUUCCACGGUGUGUCUGCCCAUCUGAGGAGCCCGUUUGUGCUCUGGCAUGGAGGGAAAGAGUGAGGCUACAGUAGAGAUUUUGCAGGACCAUAGCACAUGAUAUUCUAAUGUAGCGCUUCUAAGACUCUGGAGACAGAAUUUGUCUCCCACGCUAAAAUAAUUAUAGCCGGGAGAACAGAGAAGACAUCAUUCCAGGCCCUUAACGGUGAGGAAUAUGUGUGUGUGUGUGUGUGUGUGUGUGUGUGCACGCGCAUGCCUUAUUCCCUGGUUCUUCAAGGAGCACUUGUCUGUACUCAGCUAUACAUGUAAGGGCAACCAUGACCUGCCACAUCCCUACACCUGUCGGCGGUAUAGCGUGUAUCCAGACCAUGCUAUGGGAGGCUUUGGGGGAGAAGGAUGCCAGACCAAGAUUCCCUCCAGCCAGACUUCUCUCUACUCAGAGAGCCGAGCACACAGAAUGAGUCGAGGCACAUUCAGCUAUCUGUGGGCUCUCAAGGGGGCCCCUGUGUACCCACGGUCCAAGCUCAGCCUUUGUAGCUGGAACAUUAGCUAAAAAAAGAAGAGACCAGGUGGUUGGCCAACUGCCUUGUCACCACCUGCCCUAGAGUCUGACUGCUUUUCUCCCAUGGGCAUCUGGCCUCAGGGCCCCAGUGACCUGUGGGGUGUCUCCUCCCUGCUGAUUGCAAGGUGAAGCUGUUCUCUUUUGACAGACAGUGGGGUGCUGAGGCCAGGGGUGGCCUGGAUUUCUGCUACAGGAUCUUAGGAAUGGUUGGCCAGUGGGUAGAUGGUGAAGACAAAUGGGGCUGUUCUAGAUUCUCUCACAAGCAUGGGACAGAGCAUAUCUAAGGCUGGUGGGCCACUGGAACUUCUGUGCUCCUCACACAAAGGACAGGAGAAGCCAUCUUCAGAGGCCUCUUCUCAUGGCUCCCUCUGGGCCUGACAGCACCCUGUAUUUUGCAGCACUUUCGGGAGCGGUAAUUAGCACUCAUAAGGAGGGAUGAAAAAUGAUAGAUCCUGGUAGGUGUUUGCACACCUGUCUGCUAUGUCAGAUUGCAAAGGCUUUGAUGGCAGGGACCCUGUUUUCCCCUAGAGCUUGUGGAUGCCUCUCCACUCGCAGUAUGUUCUUAGUCAGCGUUUGGGGGGGUUUUGGCAGCUGGCUGGUGGAGGGGUGGAAGCAGACCUGGGAUCCUGUUAGCCCUCCCUCCGGCUGGGUCAGCUGGGCCGGCAGGUGAGGGGCCUGAGGGGUUUCUGUGCCUUGGUUCUUUCUGUCACUGGAAAGCCUGCCGAGUCCUGGUGGUGGGAGGGUUUGCAGGAGGCCUGGUCCUCCUUCUGGGUGUGUUGUGGGUUUACUCUGUGUCCAGGGGCCUGGAGCUGGGCUGCUGCCAGAGGGGCCACGGGCCCACUGGUCUGUAGGAAAACCUUGUGGUUUCUGGCUUGAAGAAGAAGCGGUCUCAGCUUCAGCCCUGGGGGUGGCAGAAGUGAGGCGAUGCCCCAUGGGCUUGGUUGGGCUGUACAUCCAGCCACACCAGCUUCCUCCCCUUCAGCCUGGAAGUGAAGAGACUUGCACUGUGUGCCGCUGUUUUCCCAGAACCAAGGUCAACUGCCAAAGAGAGCAGAAUGCCUCCAAAAGUGGGUGGGGAGACCUCAGAUGUGUCUCUCAGUCCUAUUCUUCACUGGGCUUGGAGUGAGGAGUAGAUGAAAGGGAAAGAACAUUCCUAGGAAGAUGCUGGACUCUUCUAGAAGAUGCCAGAAGAAAGCCUGAGGCUCCUUAGGUGCGUGACCCUGGGUUGGCUGCAUCCUGUAGAGGGCAAUGUAACCCGUCUGCUGGGGAGUCAUCUCGCGAUUAUUGAUGCUAAUGGAAAACAGAAGUGAAAUGGAUAAUUCAAGAUGGCAGAUGAAUCAAUAUUAUUUAUAUUUAGCUUGUGAAUGUGCUGCAUAUUUCUCCGCUGGCAGAUUGGCCUUCACAAUCAUAUCUUGCAGAAUCCAAGAAUCUGCUGUCGUCGGGCCAAGGGCUGCCACCUUGCUCUCCUUCCAGGAGAGUUGUUGGAACACACGCGCUUGAUCCCCUCGUGACUUGGCCACCAGCACAGAGGGAAGCGCCAGAGCGUCCUUACUAACACCUGCCCUUUCCCCAUCUCUCAAAGGUCUCCCACUGCUGACAAACCUCCUGUAGUGGGGACUGUGUAAAAAACGAUUAGAAAGAAUGGUUUAUUCAAACAGUGAGUUUUAUGCAGCUGUUUUAGAUAAUGUGGAAAGAAAGCCACAGUGCAGUGUAACUGGAAACGGAAGUCGGCAGAACAGUCUGUGUCCUUUAGUAUGGAAACAAAUACAUAUACUGUCUUGUAUUCUCAAGACACAGUAGGUGCUCAGUUAGGGGCAUGGGCCCCAGUGAGGGUGGAUGGGCCUGCUCAAGGGGCCCAUGUUUCCCAUCUUCAGUGGAAGAUGGCAGACUUUUCUCUCCCCUGCCAUCAGCACCUCAAUCUGUGCACCAGUGCUCUUUGGCACCAAAGUUUAAAAAAAUGACCUUUGAUUUCUAAGGUGCCUUACGCUAGACCUUGUAUCGAUUGACAAUUUCAUACUGAAUAAUUGGCUGAGCUCACACUGUCCUCCUAGAAGAACACCGUGAAGUCACACAGACUCAGGGUAGGACCAGGGACUUGGAGCGGGGAGGCUUGCUGGCUGUGCAGGGUACAUGCUCAGGGGCUAGGUGGCUGCAGGCCUGGGGGGCUCUGUGUGUGCCUCUGCUUGUCCAGGGUCCUGUGGUGCCUGCUUGAAAUACCCAACCAGAAUGAAGGCUCUUGACUUGACUUGUAGAGGGAGAAGAAAAACAGGAUAUGGAGAGGGGCUGAUUGAUGGUGAGGAAAAGAUGCUUCCAGAGAAUGUCUCAAGAUCUGGAGACAACGAUCUAGUUCCUUCCGUCUUCCCCACGGUCUGAGAGCUUCUGGAGGGUGCUGCCCCAUAGCUUUUUUGUCAGAACCAUCUAGAAUGAAGGCUUGUUCCUGACUCACAUCCUCAAUCCCAGAAAGCUCCUGCCUCAGCCCUUAGCUCUUGGAUUCUUCUACUUCCAGCAACAAGAGUAGACGACAGGGCCACAGCCUCUCACCUCCCUGGCACAUAGCAGAUGUUUAAUGAACACUGAAAGUACAUGUUGGGGAGGACUGUCCUUCUGCCCUGAGAAUGCAGACUGACAGCUUCCUUUUCCUCAGUAACAUCUCUCCCUCUAUAUCCCCAUAAACCUUAAAACAACUCACUCAGGAAGAGGGAAGAAGCGGGGAGGGAGAGGGUGGGACUGAUGGAUUCCCCAGGUGUCCAGAUCCAGUGAGCCUCUUCCGCAAGCGGUUUUGGUUUCUGUCCUGGAGCCCGCUGGCCCCCUUCUUCUAUUUCCUCUGCUGGCCCUCAGGACCGGAGCAGGCUGGCAGGAGGAGACAGGCUGGGCUGGAGCCGGUGACCUUCUGUCCAGAGCUGGGACCUGAUCUUGUGCCCGGCGUAGCCAUCGGGUUCUGUUGCUCCCACUUCUCCUUCUAGUCAUUUUAAAAACCAAGACACUAAAAGAAAACUAACAUUGGAAGGAGACACGAUCAUAUCACAGAGUUAUCUAACGCUAUCAGGCCACUCUGGUGCCCAGAAAUUAGAUUAUUUUAGAAUUCCAUCAAAUUAAGGGAAGAUUCUUCUCUCUGGUUCCCGUCUCCCUGCCCCUUCCUCUCGGUGUCCCUAUCUCCUCUCGCCCAUCCCUCCCUGCCGAUGAAAGAUUUUCUGGCGGUGUCAAGGCAAUGUGACCUGGUUCUGUAAUAAAGAGGAGGCUUAUUAGAAUUAAGGCCUAACAGCGUUAAAAAAGCAAUCUUUGCAAGAUUGAGGCCACAGGGGAAUUGUAAAUUCUCAGCAAAGACCUCAUUUAAGGAUUGGAAUAAAAACUUGACACGCAUGUGCGGGUGUGCACACAUGAAGGGCUCCUCGCUAAACAAAAGAGGCUUAGUUAAAAGAAAAAAGGGCAAAGGGGAAAGGGAAGGAUUGGGGGCAGAGGGGUAGGAGGGUGGUUUCCCCACACCUGGCCCCAUGCGGGGGUCUCCUGGGUAGUAUUGCCGGCCAGGGGAGGGCUGUCCUUCCAUCGAAGUCUCUCUACACCCAGACCUCUCCUGGAGCAGCUGCCCCCUUGCCUCUGUCACCUGAGGACAGCGUCAGGCAAACGGAGCUGUGUGCCACCCUAGCCCCGGGUGUCAGGGGUUGUCAUUCUAGAUUGAGUUGGCUGGGGUCCCUCCUCUCGCUGCCAAUCAUGUUUCUUAUCCGGCUGUUGCUGUGGUUUAGGGUCUGCCAGGGCAGGGGUGUGGAUGGUGGCAGCCUGUGUCUGGCUCCCUCUGGGCAGGGAAGAGGUGGGCAGCAGAGAUUUAAGCCUAAGGUGAUGCUGUCAGUGGAGGAGACAGUCUGGAUACACUGAGAUUGCAGGUUUACUUACCUAUCAUCUUAGUCCUGUUCAGGGCUGCUCUGACAGAACAGCAGAGACUGGGUGACCUAUGAACCACACUCACAUGUUUCAGCUCUGGAGGCUGGAGUCCGAGACCAAGGCACUGGCAGAUGCAUUGUUUGGUGGGGACCCGCUUCCUGGUUCAUCGCCGGUGCCUUCUGGCUCAGUCCACACAGGUGGGAAGGGGUGAGGGAGCUCCCUGGGAUUUCUUCUGUAAGGACACUAAUUCUCUCAUCACUAAUCACCUCCUGGAGGCCUCACCUCCUAAUACCAACACAUUGGGGUUAGGAUUUAACAUAUGAAUCUGGAGGAGACACAAAAUACCUAUCAGGGGUCACUUCUUGAGGUGAUCAGUCUCAUGAUGUUUUACUGGAAAAGCUGGCCUUCAAGAGACAGGCUGGGGGGGUGGCGUGGAGGUGGGGACACACACUCCUGGGAAACAGACUACUACUGCCUUGCUUCUGCUUGGGACUGCUGCGGGAGAGUGCAUCCCUCGGGGCCCUCUGGGCUCACCCCCACUGGGUGGCUGUGGCCGUGGCCCGCAUGUUGGCAGCUCCUGCUUUGCGCAUCUGCACUCCUCUGCCCCUGUGCUUUCAGGAGGAUGGGGUGGGACAUGGGGCUUCUGUGGGGACUAUGCUGCUUUAUUGCUUUGGGCUGUGCAUGGCACACGGGAGGUGCUCAGUGAGGAUUUGUGCACUGAUGGGUCUGGACCCGGUGCCCUUGCCUUUCCAGAUGUGGACCAUGACUGGGGGGCUCUUGCUUUUGGUGCCAGGAUUGGUCAUAGGAAGGUGUCCCCCCACUCCCAGGAAUUCCAUAAGUGCAAAGUGGUUGUGCCUAAUAUUCUGAGUUACAAAUAGAAGGCAGCCCCUGGGGAAGGUGAGCUCAGUCCAGCCUUGACUCACAAAACAUCAGCCAGAGGCUACCCGGCCUGGGAUGGACACAUGGCAAUGGAUGCUAGCCACUGGGAUCCCGGGGGCAGGUGCUCAGGGGUCUCUCUUGAUGCACCUCUCCUGGAGGGUCUCCUCAGUCCGGGAUCUGUGUCCCAGGACAGUGAGAUGCAGAAGUGGGUACAGCCAGGUCUGUGCUGAAAACACACCAGAAAUUUGAGGACAGGGGACAGCUCCCUCCUUUCAAGGCCCAGCCUUGCCUUCAGAAGUCAUUACAGGCUUAUUCUGUGCUCUGGGAAGUGGGACCGCUGGGAUUUCUGGCAAGUCAGCCUCAGUCCCGAGUCUCUCUCCCUGUAAGAGUUUCACUGAAGAUUUCUCUGAGGUUUGGGCAGGGUCCACUCUAGUCUUCUUUCUUGACAUGGGUGACGGUGAGAAGCUUUCUCCCAGGGCUGCUCCCAGGAAUUGAGGCAGAAUCUCAAGAGGACAGAUCUCUUUACCUGCUUCACUGACAGAGAGACAUGGCCAAGAUGACCUUUGUUAGUAUCCCUGACCUUCAACUCUCUUUCCGGGGCAGGGGGGGCGGGGGAGCCAUCUCUUUUCCCAUGGUCCAGUUGAGAUGGACUUUUUUAGACCAAGUUUCUAGCCCCAAAGGGCCACCAAGGAAGGCAGUUUACAUUUCAGGGCAUUAAAAAAUAUCUGAGGGUGUUGGGAAGGAAAUAAUCGUCCCAAACUUGGCAACAAAUAGAUUGCAAUUUUUGAAAGCUUAUCUGUGUGAAGAAUGAGUUUUCAGCUCUGCAGGAAUAUUCAUUUGCCUCUUAAACAAAGGGCAAUUAUAUGCAAUCCUUCUCUGCUUUUGUUGGCUUCCCAAGAAGGAUCUGGAGUUGGUACCUCCACCCCAGUUUCCACCCUCUUAGAACGAUAGGUUGAGAAAGUUUCAAAAUGACUGCUCAUAGUUUACAGUGUCUUGAUGUGUGUCUAUCAGCCACCCGGGCCUGGUCAUCUGGGGUCCUCAUCCUGGGCAAUGACAGACCAGGACAGUAAAUGGGGAGUUGGGGGGCAGUUCAGAGUGGAGGAGAAUUAGAAAGGAGGGGGCAGGUUGGGGCAAGUUCAGUUCCGUUCAGUCACUCAGUCGUGUCUGACUCUUUUCGACCCCAUGGACUGCAGCAUGCCAGGCCUCCCUGGUCAUCACCAACUCCUGGAUCUUGCUCAAACUCAUGUCCAUCGAGUCGGUGAUGCCAUCCAACCAUCUCAUCCUCUGUUGUCCCUUUCUCCUUCGAGAAGUGUUGGGGCAAAGGUGAGACAAAUUGAGGUGAAGAGGAAGCAGCCCCAAAUGCAUGGAUUUUCUCUCUGGGGGUCCCACAGCCUUAGGAGCUGCUGUACCCCCACGCUUCCAGGAAAGGCGUGAGGAGGGGAGGCGAGGGGAGGGGAAGGGAGGGAGCCCAAGGCUUCUCUUUGUCCUCCUCCUCCUCUUUUCCUUUCUUUUUUAAUCCCAGGGCUUCUUUCUCCAGAAGCUGUCAUUUUGUAUAAACCUCUGACCGAGGCACAUGCAUUCUCACUGCCGAAAUCUCCAUAUCAAACACAGGCAUCCGCUGUGGAACUGACAGCCCUCCCCACCCAGGCGGUGGGGCUUAGAGAGGCUGGAAGGACAAACGCCAGCCCCCACCCCCACUCCGUCCUCCACGCCUGUGCUUGGGUGAUGCAGGACGGAUUGAGCGAGGUGACCCAGUCUGUCCUGAGCACCUUCCUCAGGCCUCUUGGGUGAGAUGAGGGGGCAAUUCUUGCUCCUUCCCGCCAUCUCUGAUAGGUGUGCAAAGCCCACCUGCCCUCCCAGGGGACACACAGGAGCCUGAGGGCAAGAGGGGAGAAUUGUGUCCCCCCAAAAAACAUAUGUUGAAGUCAUAAACACCAGUACCUGGUGCAGCCUAAAGAGGCACCAAGCUGCCCUUGGAAAGGCUUCAGUCCUAGCGGCAUGAUGACGCCCAGGAGGUCUUGCAGUGAAGGUGGGACCUGGGCCACAUUAAAGCUCUAAAGCAUUUGUUUAUGAACAUUGGAGUGGGCUCAAGAGCCAGAUCUGGAUUCACCCCUCCCAUCCCCAACACUGGAAACUCCUACUCACGCUGUAAGACCUAAUUCAAAUGUCCCCUUCUCCCAUAAAGUGGGGCUUCCCUGGUGGCUCAAAUGGUGCGACCCGGGUUCUAUCCCUAGUCAGGAAGGUCCCCCGGAGAAGGGAAUGGCAACCCACUCCAGUAUUCUUGCCUGGAGAAUUUCAUGGACAGAGGAGCCUGACAGGCUACAGUCCAUGUGAUUGCAGAGUCAGACAUGACUGAACGGCCAACACACACAGACACACACACACACAGACACAGACACACACACAGACACACACACAGACACACACACAGACACACACACACACACACACACCCAUGAAGUGGUCCUGCCCUGAUUCCUCCAGUGGCUUCUUCAUCUGUUCUCUUGCAGCCUCUCCCCGGCCUCCAAGUGGGACUUGGACUGGGGCGGCUCGUAUAAGACAUAUCCUGUUCCUCUGGGUGCCCAGCCCCUUUCUAUGGCUGCAUUUCCCAAGGUAUGGUUCCUG